rnacentral:lncRNA from 1 species
AAAUCGCUUAUCAGCUCUGCUGUCGUUAUUCCAAACUUUCAUUCUUUAAUUUUGCAUGCAAAUCAGAAACCAAAAGCCUAGUGCAAGUCCUGAAGGUUCUCUCUGACUACAGAUCAUACUUGGAACAUAGCAGUACAUAUUACUAAAGAAGCCCUUGAAGAAGUGCUAUAUGGCACGUGCACACCCCAGGUCACCUCUUCUGACACCCUGGAAGAUACUGGAUAAAUUCAUCUACAAUU